AUUGAACGCUGGCGGCAGGCUUAACACAUGCAAGUCGAGCGGAGCGAGGGUGCUUGCACCUUAGCUUAGCGGCGGACGGGUGAGUAAUGCUUAGGAAUCUGCCUAUUAGUGGGGGACAACAUUCCGAAAGGAAUGCUAAUACCGCAUACGCCCUACGGGGGAAAGCAGGGGAUCUUCGGACCUUGCGCUAACAGAUGAGCCUAAGUCGGAUUAGCUAGUUGGUGGGGUAAAGGCCUACCAAGGCGACGAUCUGUAGCGGGUCUGAGAGGAUGAUCCGCCACACUGGGACUGAGACACGGCCCAGACUCCUACGGGAGGCAGCAGUGGGGAAUAUUGGACAAUGGGCGGAAGCCUGAUCCAGCCAUGCCGCGUGUGUGAAGAAGGCCUUUUGGUUGUAAAGCACUUUAAGCGAGGAGGAGGCUACUUAGAUUAAUACUCUGGGAUAGUGGACGUUACUCGCAGAAUAAGCACCGGCUAACUCUGUGCCAGCCGCCGCGGUAAGAC
rnacentral:rRNA from 1 species